rnacentral:rRNA from 1 species
AUUGAACGCUGGCGGCAUGCCUUACACAUGCAAGUCGAACGGCAGCGCGGACUUCGGUCUGGCGGCGAGUGGCGAACGGGUGAGUAACAUAUCGGAACGUGCCCUGGAGUGGGGGAUAACUAGUCGAAAGACUAGCUAAUACCGCAUACGAUCUACGGAUGAAAGUGGGGGAUCGCAAGACCUCAUGCUCGUGGAGCGGCCGAUAUCUGAUUAGCUAGUUGGUGGGGUAAAGGCCUACCAAGGCAUCGAUCAGUAGCUGGUCUGAGAGGACGACCAGCCACACUGGGACUGAGACACGGUCCAGACUCCUACGGGAGGCAGCAGUGGGGGAUUUUGGACAAUGGGGGCAACCCUGAUCCAGCAAUGCCGCGUGAGUGAAGAAGGCCUUCGGGUUGUAAAGCUCUUUUGUCAGGGAAGAAACGGUCCGGGCUAAUAUCCUGGGCUAAUGACGGUACCUGAAGAAUAAGCACCGGCUAACUACGUGCCAGCCGCCGCAGUAACAC